GACGAACGCUGGCGGCGUGCUUAACACAUGCAAGUCGAGCGGUAAGGCCCUUUCGGGGGUACACGAGCGGCGAACGGGCGAGUAACACGUGGGUGACCUGCCCUUAGCUCUGGGAUAAGCCUGGGAAACUGGGUCUAAUACCGGAUAUGACUCCAUGACGCAUGUUGUGGGGUGGAAAGCCUUGUGCGGCUAGGGAUGGGCCCGCGGCCUAUCAGCUUGUUGGUGGGGUGAUGGCCUACCAAGGCGACGACGGGUAGCCGGCCUGAGAGGGCGACCGGCCACACUGGGACUGAGACACGGCCCAGACUCCUACGGGAGGCAGCAGUGGGGAAUCUUGCGCAAUGGGCGAAAGCCUGACGCAGCGACGCCGCGUGAGGGAUGACGGCCUCGG
rnacentral:rRNA from 1 species